rnacentral:rRNA from 1 species
CCUACGGGUGGCAGCAGUGAGGAAUAUUGGUCAAUGGCCGGAAGGCUGAACCAGCCAAGCCGCGUGAAGGACGAAGGUGCCAAGCAUUGUAAACUUCUUUUGUCAAGGGACAAAAUCAGGCUCGAGAGCCUGACCGAGGGUACUUGAAGAAAAAGCAUCGGCUAACUCCGUGCCAGCAGCCGCGGUAAUACGGAGGAUGCGAGCGUUAUCCGGAUUUAUUGGGUUUAAAGGGUGCGUAGGCGGGCUGUCAAGCAAGCGGUAAAAGCCCGGGGCUCAACCCCGGCGAGCCGUUGAAACUGGCGGUCUUGAGAUGUCGAGAGGUAUGCGGAAUGCGCGGUGUAGCGGUGAAAUGCUUAGAUAUUGCGCAGAACUCCGAUUGCGAAGGCAGCAUACCGGCGGCGAUCUGACGCUGAGGCACGAAAGCGUGGGUAUCGAACAGGAUUAGAUACCCCGGUAGUC